rnacentral:rRNA from 1 species
GAUGAACGCUGGCGGCGUGCUUAACACAUGCAAGUCGAACGAAGCGCUUAAACGGAUUUCUUCGGAUUGAAGUUUUUGUGACUGAGUGGCGGACGGGUGAGUAACGCGUGGGUAACCUGCCUCAUACAGGGGGAUAACAGUUAGAAAUGACUGCUAAUACCGCAUAAGCGCACGGCAUCGCAUGAUGCAGUGUGAAAAACUCCGGUGGUGUGAGAUGGACUCCGCGUCUGAUUAGGUAGUUGGUGGGGUAACGGCCCACCAAGCCGACGAUCAGUAGCCGACCUGAGAGGGUGACCGGCCACAUUGGGACUGAGACACGGCCCAA